CACUAAGCAAGGGCCACCACCAAGCAAGGGCCACCACCAAGAAAGCGGCACCAUGAAGACUAAGGAGCUCUCCAAACAGCUUCUUCUGAGUCCUGUGGAGUCGUCAGGCCUGGAGGACCAGUAGCAGGGGGCUCCUGAGUCCUGUGGAGUCGUCAGGCUUGGAGGACCAGUAGCAGGGGGAUCCUGAGUCCUGUGGAGUCGUCAGGCUUGGAGGACCAGUAGCAGGGGGAUCCUGAGUCCUGUGGAGUCGUCAGGCUUGGAGGACCAGUAGCAGGGGGAUCCUGAGUCCUGUGGAGUCGUCAGGCUUGGAGGACCAGUAGCAGGGGGAUCCUGAGUCCUGUGGAGUCGUCAGGCUUGGAGGACCAGUAGCAGGGGGAUCCUGAGUCCUGUGGAGUCAUCAGGCUUGGAGGACCAGUAGCAGGGGGAUCCUGAGUCCUGUGGAGUCGUCAGGCUUGGAGGACCAGUAGCAGGGGGAUCCUGAGUCCUGUGGAGUCGUCAGGCUUGGAGGACCAGUAGCAGGGGGAUCCUGAGUCCUGUGGAGUCGUCAGGCUUGGAGGACCAGUAGCAGGGGGAUCCUGAGUCCUGUGGAGUCGUCAGGCUUGGAGGACCAGUAGCAGGGGAUCCUUGUUGAACAUGGUCUUUGGCUCUGUGUGUUGGAGAUAAGCCAGAGGGAGCAUGUCAGCUACACUGAUAUACUGUUACUAUUCAUGGACAGAGUUUCACAGUUCACACCCUCAGCUGAUGCACUGUCACAGUGAGGCAAGAGCACUUCCUCUGGCCACCCACACACACACCCACACACACACACACACACACAUACACGCACACGACACUGGUUGGGCUCACACACAUUGACCGUGUUCCAAAGCAUAAAAUAUGUGAUGCAUUGUGGGUAAAUUGUGAAACAGAGCAAAAGACCUAUGAGAAUGUUUGAGUUCACAGACAAGAACUAAGAGAACGUACUAACUAAAAGUAGAUGCUGGUUUUACAUGUUGCAUUUAAAUAUUUUUUCAGUAUAUGUUGUGUUGAACCCUUUCAUCCUUUGUAAUCAGUAUUAUCACUCUCUCUUUCUCAUAUUCUACAUAAGGCUUCUGUGCUGGCUAGUGUGCCCCACGGAAGCAACCAGUCACCACCUUCUACGCGUGGUCGAGCUGCAGACUCAUAUAAGAAUCUAUUGAGCCAAGUAAUUUUUCUCAAUAGCACUGUGGUUAAUGGUUAGCUGCACCAAGCUUUAUUCAAAAUAGCAAUGUGGUUAAAUGGCUAGCUGCUACAAGCUAUUUUUCCAAAUAGCACUGUGGUUAAAUGGCUAGCUGCUACAAGCUAUUUUUCCAAAUAGCACUGUGGUUAAAUGGCUAGCUGCUGCAAGCUAUUUUUCAAAAUAGCACUAUAGUUCUCCAGUCCACAAUAAAGAGUUUUCUACCUCUUUCUACCUCUGAUGGUUUUAAUAACAAUCUGUGGAUCUGCCCUUCCCUCCUAGACUGUCAUUUUACCAGUCCAACAGGCCUGUUGUAGAUUAAACUGUAGGAUGGAGAGAGUUUAUUAGACAGUGUGUCACAGAUUAACGGUACCCACAAAUAAGAGGUCUGCUCUUUGGAUGUGUAACACGUAACAUGUGUUUGUGUGUGAAGUAGUCACGUGCACAUUUCUCUGUGUAGAUCAAAAAAAGUUUGAAAAUGAUCAAUGAGUGGAUAUUCUCACUGCUCUGGAGAAAGUGUUUUUUUUUUUUUUUUUUUACCCCAGUAACCGUUUAUGAUUAAAUAUGGUGCCUUGUUUUUGCCAAAAA